rnacentral:lncRNA from 1 species
GAGAAUGGAGAGUUAGAGUGAGAAGAAUGGAGAAUUUUUUAGAAUGAGUUUUAUAUUACAAAUGGAGUACUAGCCUAUGGCACGCAUGUUUUUGGUGAAAUUUGGAUUUGGUGGGGUGGUAUUUUCGUUAAUUUCAAGAAUUGCACAAAUGUGGUAAGGCUGCUUCCUCGAGGUGAUCAAGUGCACAUGUAUAAACUAGUUGUCUGUUUACUGAUCUGCUUGAUUUAUCUGUACUUUGUUUUGCUGACAUUGAGUUCUUAGAAGUUAGCAUCAAGUGUACAUGUAUAAACUAGUUGUCUGUUUUUUCAAAUAUUUAUGUAUCAAGUGAUCUAUGGAAAUUGCAGAGAAACCAGUUUCAAAUAUUAUGCAUAAAAGGACUUGAAGAAGGCAAGCAUGUUUACAACUGAAAGUCAUUCGUAAACCAAUGUCUGCAUAUAAGCUCUAUAUCAUUUUUAAGUAAAGAAAGAGAGCUGCUAGCACUUCACAGAAUGACUGAAAAUGGUAGGUACAACGUGAUAUUUCAGUGCCAAGCCAAUUUGGGGUGACGUAGUUGGUACAGCUUCUAUUGGUGAAGACCAGGAGAAUAUAUUUUGCAUCCUUGGUAGCUGCUCUAUUUAUAUCUAUACCUAUACUGAAAGAGAUCUGGUAUGCACAAAUAAUUCUUCCUUUAUAAUCAUGUGCUGCCAUGUUUAGGCUCAGUGGUACCCCUUUCCUGCUACAAAGCAUCAUUGAGUUUCCUUUUUCGUUGCGUGAAUCUUUCUUGAGAAAUGAACAGUGCCAGGAUAGGUACAUCUAGUUGGCUCUUAUUUAUGUAAAAACGUUCUGGAGAAAAGAACACAGAAACGAUCAUAUGGGCUCUGGCCGCCUAUCCUUCUCCAUUAUGUAACAUCCCGA